rnacentral:ncRNA from 2 species
AUGAAGAGUAUGGGAGACUGCUUUAUAAAAAGCGACCGAAGGGACAAGUUUAAUCUUACUUACCCAAAAGAUUAGAUGAAAUUCUCAGGUAAAGGUGACUGUACUUGGACG